UUUAACAUGUCUACAUGGGAGCUGUUAGCAUGAAGAUCCAAAGAUACAAGGACAAUUAUAAUUUUUAUGCUUAGAUUUAAAAAAGUAUGGACAGCUGUAUAGAAACAUGAUUGGACAAGAAGGUAUGAUCUAAAUAAGUGGGAAAACCCAUCAAGGCCUCUCUGUCUAGAUUUUUCUUGGCCUCUGACCACUUAUUCCUUCCUUCUGAGUAUGAGACAGAGUCCUGUCUGGAAUGGGACUCUUAUGACCUACAGUCAAACAAGGUUUUGGUCUGCCUUUCAGUAGAAUGUAAGCUGCAUGGAGACGUAUAAUACAAAUUCAUUAACUACUCAGUGAAUGACUGGAUGAGGAAAUCCGUCAUCCUUGGCUCAGGUAUUUAUUGAAUUGGACUCUUUUCAUCGACACUCCUUCUACCAAGUUAGGACACAUUGAGACGGCGCCAUCUAUGAACCAGGAAGCAGACCUUCAACAGACACUGAAUCUGCCAGAACUUUCAUCUUGGGAUUUCCCAGCCUCUACA